rnacentral:rRNA from 1 species
UACGUAGGUGGCAAGCGUUGUCCGGAUUUAUUGGGUUUAAAGGGUGCGUAGGCGGCCCUGUAAGUCAGGGGUGAAAUACUCUAGCUUAACUAGAGGGGUGCCAAUGAUACUGCAGGGCUUGAGUACAGAUGAGGUAGGCGGAAUUGACGGUGUAGCGGUGAAAUGCAUAGAUAUCGUCAAGAACACCUAUAGCGAAGGCAGCUUACUGGGCUGUAACUGACGCUGAGGCACGAAAGUGUGGGGAUCAAACAGG